CACCAGCUGCAGCAGCUGCUGCAGCAGCUGCUGCAGCAGCUGCUGCUGCAGCAUCUGCUACAGCUGCUGCUGCAGCUGCUGCUGCAGCUGCUGCUGCAGCUGCUGCUGCAGCAGCUGCUACAGCUGCUGCUGCAGCUGCUGCUGCAGCUGCUGCUGCAGCUGCUGCUGCAGCUGCUG
rnacentral:ncRNA from 1 species